ACAACGGCUCUUUUCAGAGCCCCCAAGUCAGCAGAAAAGGCUUGU
rfam:Oryctolagus cuniculus chromosome X, whole genome shotgun sequence.